AUGUCUGACCGAGCAACGCCGCGUGAGUNAAGAAGGUUUUCGGAUCGUAAAACUCUGUUGGUAGAGAAGAACGUUGGUGAGAGUGGAAAGCUCAUCAAGNGACGGNAACUACCCAGAAAGGGACGGCUAACUACGUGCCAGCAGCCGCGGNAAUACGUAGGUCCCGAGCGUUGUCCGGAUUUAUUGGGCGUAAAGCGAGCGCAGGUGGUUUAUUANGUCUGGUGUAAAAGGCAGUGGCUCAACCAUUGUAUGCAUUGGAAACUGGUAGACUUGAGUGCAGGAGAGGAGAGUGGAAUUCCAUGUGUAGCGGUGAAAUGCGUAGAUAUAUGGAGGAACACCGGUGGCGAAAGCGGCUCUCUGGCCUGUAACUNACACUNNGGCUCGAAAGCGUGGGGAGCAAACAGGAUUAGAUACCCUGGUAGUCCACGCCGUAAACGAUGNGUGCUAGAUGUAGGGAGCUAUAAGUUCUCUGUAUCGCAGCUAACGUAA
rnacentral:rRNA from 1 species